rnacentral:rRNA from 1 species
UGGGGAAUAUUGCACAAUGGGCGAAAGCCUGAUGCAGCCAUGCCGCGUGUGUGAAGAAGGCCUUAGGGUUGUAAAGCACUUUCAGCGAGGAGGAAAGGAUUAAAGUUAAUACCUUUGAUCUGUGACGUUACUCGCAGGAGAAGCACCGGCUAACUCCGUGCCAGCAGCCGCGGUAAUACGGAGGGUGCGAGCGUUAAUCGGAAUUACUGGGCGUAAAGCGUGCGUAGGCGGCUACUUAAGUUGGAUGUGAAAGCCCUGGGCUCAACCUGGGAACUGCAUCCAAAACUGAGUGGCUAGAGUGCGAGAGAGGAGUGUGGAAUUUCCUGUGUAGCGGUGAAAUGCGUAGAUAUAGGAAGGAACACCAGUGGCGAAGGCGACACUCUGGCUUGACACUGACGCUGAGGUACGAAAGCGUGGGGAGCAAACAGGAUUAGAUACCCUGGUAGUCCACGCCGUAAACGAUGUCUACUAGUUGUCCGUUGUCUUGUACGAUGGGUAACGCAGCUAACGCGAUAAGUAGACCGCCUGGGGAGUACGGCCGCAAGGUUA